GCAAUAGUGGCACAAUGGUUAAGUGCUCAACUGCUUAACCAAAAGGUUGGUGGUUCAAACCCACCCAGUGGCU
rnacentral:tRNA from 1 species